rnacentral:rRNA from 1 species
CCUACGGGUGGCAGCAGUGGGGGAUAUUGGACAAUGGGGGGAACCCUGAUCCAGCGACGCCGCGUGAGUGAAGAAGUAUCUCGGUAUGUAAAGCUCUGUUAGCAGGGAAGAAAGAAACGACGGUAUCCGACCAAGAAGCCCCGGCCAACUACGUGCCAGCCGCCGCGGUAAUACGUAGGGGGCAAGCGUCAUCCGGAAUUACUGGGGGCAAAGGGAGCGUAGACGGUUAAGUAAGUCUGGAGUUAAAGGCCGGGGCCCAACCCCGGGACUGCUGUGGAAACUCGUGAACUUGAGUGCGGGAGAGGUAAGCGGAAUGCCUAGUGUAGCGGUGAAAUGCGUAGAUAUUAGGAGGAACACCGGUGGCGAAGGCGGCUUACUGGACUGUAACUGACGUUGAGGCUCGAAAGCGUGGGGAGCAAACAGGAUUAGAUACCCCAGUAGUC